rnacentral:rRNA from 1 species
CCCUUAGAUGUUCUGGGCCGCACGCGCGCUACACUGAUGCAUUCAACGAGUUUCUUCCUGGUCCGAGAGGAAUGGGUAACCUUUUGAAAGUGCAUCGUGAUAGGGAUAGACUAUUGCAAUUAUUGGUCUUCAACGAGGAAUUCCUAGUAGACGUAGUUCAUCAGACUGCAUCGAUUACGUCCCUGCCCUUUGUACACACCGCCCGUCGCUCCUACCGAUUGAAUGCUCAGGUGAAUAAUUCGGACUGCAGCAAUGUUCGGAUCCCGAACGUUGCAGCGGAAAGUUUAGUGAACCUUAUCACUUAGAGGAAGGAGAAGUCGUAACA